GUGCGGUGCCCGGCUCCAGCCCUGGGAGGGAAACCUUUGUUCGCCUCUGCCAUCAAACUGGUAGCUCAUCAGAACUGGGGCAACAAGAGUUUGUGCGCAUCGGCUCUCGGCAGAGGUUAAACAAAGCCAUGCAGCCUGGGGACCCGGCUGAGCGUGUCCGCGUCUCAGCUCCUGGUUAGCGAGGUCCCGCUCUGCGCUGGGGACCCGGGAACCGGACAAGGCGCGGGAAGGAGCGCGGGGCUGAGCGAGUCCCACGCUCUCGGCAAGUUCCCGGGGUGCAGUCCGCUCGCAGGUUCCUCCCAGGGACCCACGAAUGAGCACGCCCCGCACAGAUCCAGAAGAGAGGGGCUGCGCCGCGCAUGGGGUCGUCGCCCCAAAGACCUCCGCCGGCCGUGCUAGCCCACGCCCGGGGCAAGGUAGGAGUCUCGCUCGGGCCCCGCCAGAGAGAGAAGCCACCCGCUGCCCAUUGUCUGUUCUCCUCCGUCGCCGGAGGAGAGCUCACCUGCGGUUUCGCAGGGCGCCGCCGUGGAGAGAGGGAUUGGCGAGAGCCGCGCGCCCCGGGAACGUCCCAGCCCGCCGAGCCUCCGCAGCAGCAGCAGCCCCAGCAGCGCGGCCGGCUCUCAAGCGCCCGCGGCCUCCAUUGCUCUCCCCGCCGCCACCACCGCGCGGCACUGCGCGCCCAGCCCCGCGCGCCGUGGUCACAUGCUCCGCCCGCGCUUGCCUUGGCCGCUCGGACCCUCGCCCGCCCCGCCCGGACACCGCCGCGCUGCCCGCCGAGCUCCGUUGGUGCAUGCCGGACACUUUGCACCCGGGCUGACUCGAAAGCAGGAGUUAGCCCAGGACACCGUGUGGGACUUACCAGUGCCCUCUCCACCGCUGCAGGAAUGGCCAGAUCUAAGGCUGAAGGCGAGGGUCGAGGCGCACCUUGCAAGGGGCAAGAAUCCAAGACUGUCAGUCACCACCUUCUCUGGAAGUAGUCCGGGUCCCGGGUACCAGCAUAAAACAGUAACUCGAGUGACCUGGACCAUAAAGAGGUUUCACCCUGCAUGGUCCAAGCUAUCAGAAUGGAUCUGGGACUCCUGAGUCGCACAAAUGGAAAGAUGUCCCUCCAGAGAUAUAAAAAGCUAGCGAUUGUAUUGCUGAGUUCCAGUGCAUUUGAACACAGUGACAUCGGUCAUUAUUGUCCUCACUCAUAAUGAAAUUAAAUAUUGACUUCGAUAUCUUAGAAAGAUUAUCUUGUCCUUUUGUGGGUUAGUCAGAAGCAAUGAGACUUAGCUCCAUACUUCCUGUCAUGGCUAUUUCAAUAGAAGCGUUGGAACUCAAGUCUACCGGGCCUUUUGAUGCUGCAAAUACAAAGAUACCAAAAUCUAGGCGUCUUAUUUAUUACUAAAGCAAAAAUCUUCUGUGACAAAAGACGCAGAAAACCAACUGUAACAUAUACUCUAUAACGAAUCAAAGGUCCCAGUGUCCAAAACAGGACCACUAAUUUCAAUGCUGAUGGCAAGCGUGAUUCAGAACUGAUACGGGAUAGUUCCAGUGCAUAGCGGAUUAGUUAACUGGGCUUUUCUGGAUAACUUGUUGUUGUUGUUGUUGUUUUGGGUUUUUGUUGGUUUUGUUUUGUUUUGUUUUGUUUUGUUUUGUUUUGUUUUUCCAGACAGGAUUUCUCUGUGUAGCCCUGGCUGCCCUGAAACUCAUUCUGUAGACCAGGCUGGCCUCGAACUUACAGAGAUACAUAUGCCUCUGCCUCUCAAAUGCUGGGAUUAGUGUAUUGUUUCAUUGAUCAUUGCUUACAUAUAUCCUAAACUAUUCCUCAAAAUAAGAAUAAUAAUGAGUUUUAGAGAAUUAAGUUAAAGGUUCCUUUAACUUUGGUUUAGUAGCAAUAGAAAUUUUUAGAAGCUCAAAAUGAAAUCUGGGCAGAGUAUACAACAGGGAUCUUUUUCUUGGCACACUAUACUCUUGACUCUGUGCCAACUGCACAAGAAUCACUCUAUAGUAAUUCAAAUUCACAUAGUGUGGGUUCUACUGACUUUUCAUUUUGUAAGACAAAUAUGGCAACUUAUACGCCAUUAAAUCAUCUAGAGAGUUGAUGCUCAUAUUAGAAUAUUCUAGUGCCAGACUUUAUGCAUCAUACCUCAAAUCGGAAGCUAAUAGGAAACUUUGAUUAUCUUUUGAGCUAUUUGCCUUGGCUUUUGACUAUCACAUCGUAUCGAUAACAGCUCAGUCCACCGGAUAGUCAGCAUGGAGCUAUUAAGUUUACCCUAGAAUAACGGAACUUUCAGACCAGAUCCUGCCCAUUGAGGGGGUGUGGCUGCAGACUAAUGGAAGCUUUCAACGUGGCUCUAUAGUAAGCUGUCCUGCUGGAAAGGUGACAGGUGACAGAAUAUCUUUCUUCCGACUUCUCAAGCGUACUGGUCCAUAGUUCAUACC
rnacentral:lncRNA from 1 species